rnacentral:rRNA from 1 species
ACGCUGGCGGCAGGCCUAACACAUGCAAGUCGAGCGGUAGAGAGAAGCUUGCUUCUCUUGAGAGCGGCGGACGGGUGAGUAAUGCCUAGGAAUCUGCCUGGUAGUGGGGGAUAACGUUCGGAAACGGACGCUAAUACCGCAUACGUCCUACGGGAGAAAGCAGGGGACCUUCGGGCCUUGCGCUAUCAGAUGAGCCUAGGUCGGAUUAGCUAGUUGGUGAGGUAAUGGCUCACCAAGGCGACGAUCCGUAGCUGGUCUGAGAGGAUGAUCAGUCACACUGGAACUGAGACACGGUCCAGACUCCUACGGGAGGCAGCAGUGGGGAAUAUUGGACAAUGGGCGAAAGCCUGAUCCAGCCAUGCCGCGUGUGUGAAGAAGGUCUUCGGAUUGUAAAGCACUUUAAGUUGGGAGGAAGGGCAGUUACCUAAUACGUGAUUGUUUUGACGUUACCGACAGAAUAAGCACCGGCUAACUCUGUGCCAGCAGCCGCGGUAAUACAGAGGGUGCAAGCGUUAAUCGGAAUUACUGGGCGUAAAGCGCGCGUAGGUGGUUAGUUAAGUUGGAUGUGAAAUCCCCGGGCUCAACCUGGGAACUGCAUUCAAAACUGACUGACUAGAGUAUGGUAGAGGGUGGUGGAAUUUCCUGUGUAGCGGUGAAAUGCGUAGAUAUAGGAAGGAACACCAGUGGCGAAGGCGACCACCUGGACUGAUACUGACACUGAGGUGCGAAAGCGUGGGGAGCAAAC